rnacentral:rRNA from 1 species
UACGAAGGGGGCUAGCGUUGUUCGGAAUUACUGGGCGUAAAGCGAACGUAGGCGGUGUUCCAUGUCAGAGGUGAAAGCCUGGGGCUCAACUCCAGAAUUGCCUUUGAAACGGGGACGCUUGAGUCCGAGAGAGGAUGGCGGAAUUCCUAGUGUAGAGGUGAAAUUCGUAGAUAUUCGGAGGAACACCAGUGGCGAAGGCGGCUCACUGGCUCGGUACUGACGCUGAGGUGCGAAAGCGUGGGGAGCAAACAGG